rnacentral:rRNA from 1 species
GACGAACGCUGGCGGCGUGCUUAACACAUGCAAGUCGAACGGAAAGGCCCUGCUUUUGUGGGGUGCUCGAGUGGCGAACGGGUGAGUAACACGUGAGUAACCUGCCCUUUACUUUGGGAUAACUUCAGGAAACUGGGGCUAAUACCGGAUAGGAGCUCCUGCUGCAUGGUGGGGGUUGGAAAGUUUCGGCGGUUGGGGAUGGACUCGCGGCUUAUCCGCUUGUUGGUGGGGUAGUGGCUUACCAAGGCUUUGACGGGUAGCCGGCCUGUGAGGGUGACCGGCCAAAUUGGGACUGAGAUACGGCCCAGACUCCUACGGGAGGCAGAAGUGGGGAAUAUUGCACAAUGGGCGGAAGCCUGAUGCAGCAACGCAGCGUGCGGGAUGACGGCCUUCGGGUUGUAAACCGCUUUCGACUGUGACGAAGAGUGAGUGACGGUAAUGGGUAAAGAAGCACCGGCUAACUACGUG